CUCUGCAGAGCCUUCAAAGAUGAAUAGGAGUUUGCUGAACCUGAGAGCAUGUGUCUGCUGGGGUGGACUUCAGUCGGAUUAAAGUGUGUGCGGGAACAGUCAGAGAGGAAGGUGUGAAGGUUCCACACAUCUCCACUGGUGUGCGAGAAGGUGAGAGUGAACAGAUCAUCACACUUCUGGGAUGGGAAGAAAGCCCAGUGUUACUACCAAGUCGAUGGUCUUCAGCUUCCCUCACACCAAAGUUAUCUAGGUGAACUUAGACCCCACACCCAGAUUGGAUGCAGAUUUUCCUUCAAGAACCUUUACUCGGGUGAGAAGAGCUUCCCUCGUCCCCAGGACUCAUAGGAUCUUUGAGGCUUUAUGAAGGAGAGAUGGAUUCAUUCCUAGAUGCGGAGAUGGACACCCCAUGAAUCAAAACUCAAAGGCUGAAUUUCAGGAUCAUUGGAGAGAGACCUUGGACUGGUGUCAAAGAGAGGGGAAGAGCCCUGACUGUCAGAUGUGACCUUUUGAAACAAUGUCUCCAAAUUUCUCUGAUCAUACACCUUUCUCUGUUUUCAAAACUGGAGUAUGCCCUCCAAUACAU